rnacentral:rRNA from 1 species
UACGAAGUGUGCAAACGUUGCUCGGAAUUAUUGGGCGUAAAGCGCACGUAGGCGGUAUUGCAAGUCGGAUGUGAAAUCCCUCGGCUUAACCAAGGAAGUGCAUCCGAAACUGCUGUACUUGAGUACGAAAGAGGAUCGCGGAAUUCCCGGUGUAGAGGUGAAAUUCGUAGAUAUCGGGAGGAACACCAGUGGCGAAGGCGGCGAUCUGGGUCGAUACUGACGCUGAGGUGCGAAAGCGUGGGGAGCAAACAGG